rnacentral:rRNA from 2 species
AGAGUUUGAUCCUGGCUCAGGAUGAACGCUGGCGGCGUGCCUAAUACAUGCAAGUCGAGCGAACGGACGAGAAGCUUGCUUCUCUGAUGUUAGCGGCGGACGGGUGAGUAACACGUGGAUAACCUACCUAUAAGACUGGGAUAACUUCGGGAAACCGGAGCUAAUACCGGAUAAUAUUUCGAACCGCAUGGUUCAAAAGUGAAAGACGGUCUUGCUGUCACUUAUAGAUGGAUCCGCGCUGCAUUAGCUAGUUGGUAAGGUAACGGCUUACCAAGGCAACGAUGCAUAGCCGACCUGAGAGGGUGAUCGGCCACACUGGAACUGAGACACGGUCCAGACUCCUACGGGAGGCAGCAGUAGGGAAUCUUCCGCAAUGGGCGAAAGCCUGACGGAGCAACGCCGCGUGAGUGAUGAAGGUCUUCGGAUCGUAAAACUCUGUUAUUAGGGAAGAACAUAUGUGUAAGUAACUGUGCACAUCUUGACGGUACCUAAUCAGAAAGCCACGGCUAACUACGUGCCAGCAGCCGCGGUAAUACGUAGGUGGCAAGCGUUAUCCGGAAUUAUUGGGCGUAAAGCGCGCGUAGGCGGUUUUUUAAGUCUGAUGUGAAAGCCCACGGCUCAACCGUGGAGGGUCAUUGGAAACUGGAAAACUUGAGUGCAGAAGAGGAAAGUGGAAUUCCAUGUGUAGCGGUGAAAUGCGCAGAGAUAUGGAGGAACACCAGUGGCGAAGGCGACUUUCUGGUCUGUAACUGACGCUGAUGUGCGAAAGCGUGGGGAUCAAACAGGAUUAGAUACCCUGGUAGUCCACGCCGUAAACGAUGAGUGCUAAGUGUUAGGGGGUUUCCGCCCCUUAGUGCUGCAGCUAACGCAUUAAGCACUCCGCCUGGGGAGUACGACCGCAAGGUUGAAACUCAAAGGAAUUGACGGGGACCCGCACAAGCGGUGGAGCAUGUGGUUUAAUUCGAAGCAACGCGAAGAACCUUACCAAAUCUUGACAUCCUUUGACAACUCUAGAGAUAGAGCCUUCCCCUUCGGGGGACAAAGUGACAGGUGGUGCAUGGUUGUCGUCAGCUCGUGUCGUGAGAUGUUGGGUUAAGUCCCGCAACGAGCGCAACCCUUAAGCUUAGUUGCCAUCAUUAAGUUGGGCACUCUAAGUUGACUGCCGGUGACAAACCGGAGGAAGGUGGGGAUGACGUCAAAUCAUCAUGCCCCUUAUGAUUUGGGCUACACACGUGCUACAAUGGACAAUACAAAGGGCAGCGAAACCGCGAGGUCAAGCAAAUCCCAUAAAGUUGUUCUCAGUUCGGAUUGUAGUCUGCAACUCGACUACAUGAAGCUGGAAUCGCUAGUAAUCGUAGAUCAGCAUGCUACGGUGAAUACGUUCCCGGGUCUUGUACACACCGCCCGUCACACCACGAGAGUUUGUAACACCCGAAGCCGGUGGAGUAACCUUUUAGGAGCUAGCCGUCGAAGGUGGGACAAAUGAUUGGGGUGAAGUCGUAACAAGGUAGCCGUAUCGGAAGGUGCGGCUGGAUCACCU